rnacentral:misc_RNA from 1 species
UGGCUCUCGCAUCGAUGAAGAACGCAGCAAAGCGCGAAAUGUAAUGUGAAUUGCAGAAUUCAGUGAAUCAUCGAAUCUUUGAACGCACCUUGCGCUCUUGGGUCACUCCUAAGAGCAUGCUUGUUUGAGUGUCGCGUACCUUCUCAACCCCGCUUUUUCUUUGGAAAGGUAGACCAUUUUAUUAAUAAGAUGGGUUUAGGGUUGGAUCAUGACGCCUUGUCGCUUUCUUAAGAAAGGCAGACUGCGUUGAAAAACAAGAAGCUGUAUCCUAGACUUGGCGGCUUGACCUGUUGUCAUAAGCUUGAAACUUUCAAUGGGAACGCUAGUCGGAACGAGCUUAUCAUAAAUUGAUAACUUUAAACAUUGACCUCAAAUCAAGUAGGACUACCCGCUGA